GGGCAGUCUGCCUUCCUGUGUCCUCAUAAUUCUAAAUUAUGUCCUUGCCAUUGGCUGGGAUAAUAGCCCCAGAUAAGAGGGAGCUUUUGCAUGACCUUGGCUCUGACAGACGCUCAGGAGAACCAAGUCUGUAUAAACCUGAGGGGAGAAAUGACAACUCGGCGGCUCGAAGGAACACACAGUCCUGUCUCCAAACACCAAGAGACGAUGAGUCACAAACCAGUGAGCAGAUUUUAGAGAGUGGGGUGGGCUACCUAUUUGCCUUUUUUUUUUUUUUUUUUUUUUUUAAGGAGAGAGAAAGACAUGCCGCCAGCGUUGGAGCGCAGUGAUCUGUGAGAUAAUGAUGGAAAGCAGACAGGGGAAGCCAGGUUAUAAAAAUGUUGGGCAGGAGAUAAGGGGUCCAGGUGGUCAGGAGCAGUGGAGCUGGCCUGAGAGAAGACUGACUCUGGCUAAUGAAGGCCUGUGGCCACAUUCCUGGAGAACAGUGGGAGAGGAAGCCGUGGAGCCAGGAAGUGUCUGUCGGCGGGAACUAAUCCUGGUCACAUUACUACACAAAUGUCCCGGCGACUUCACACCAGUCCUGCUGGUCUCUGCAAACUUCCAGACGAACCAUUUAUCUUCGUACUUGUCACUUAGGAUUCUCUCCACGGAGGAAAAAUGUUUGGAAGAUCUGGGAGGAAAUGGAGUGACAUUUUUCUAAGUGUCUUCUGUCCAGAGACAAAGAACUUUCUCUUAGACUUCAUAGGACAAUUGACCUGACAACAUGGAGCAGGUCUAGAAGAAGGAGAAAAUACCCUGAGAACAACUGACCAGGAGAACUGGAAUCAACCAGUUAGAAUGCCUGGAGAAUCCCAGUCUGGUGAGGGAGGUCCUUCCGGGGUGAACAGAACACAGGAAGACUCCAUGGUCCCAGGGAGGUAGAGUGGGAGGCUGCCCAGCCCCCUCCCUCAGCUCCACUCCCUUUUGAAGCCUAAUCAAUAAGAAUGUCACAGAGGCGCUUUUCUAAGAAGGUGAUGAUUCGUGAUUCAGGAAAAAACAGGGAGCCUUGGGAGGCAAGUCAAUACCCCAAUCUCCUAGUGACUGGCGUGCUCAAAACAUCCAAUAGCUUGGGGUCCCCUUCUGGAGCUUAUUUUCAAACUGAUUUCUGACUCAUUUCCAUUUGAGACAAAACCAUUACACUAGUUGAUGCUAACAGACAGGAAACUGGGCCCCUAAGUUUGCUAAAUGAAAUAUUAUUUCUCCCAUGCCUUUCCACAUCACCGGCCUUUGCUUAUUUGGUGAAAGAAACCAAAGAACAUUUUACCUCAGUCCUGACAGCUCAGUAUGACAGCUGCCACAGUCUUGUGGGACCCUCCUCAAUGCCCUCCUAUAUUUACAGGACAAAUAACCCCAGGGUUUCCCUCUCAAGUGAGCAUUUGAAGGACCCACAGCCCUGUAGCAAUGUAGAACCAGAUGGGUAGUGUCUGGUCAGGGCCCUACUCUAUCCCCACUCUCUCUGCUCUCUACUGAGCCUGCCUCUACUUCCUAGUGCCUGAGGCCCUGUUCUUUCUUUAUCUACAUUAGUUACAGCAGCAACAGCUCGAAGACUGUUUUGUUGUUGGUUUGGUUUUUUCCUAUAAAAGAAGUGGAGAAGGAAAUUUUUCUUUGAGCGGCAUUUUGACAAACAGAGAGUGAGGUCAUAGAA
rnacentral:lncRNA from 1 species